GACGAACGCGGGCGGCGUGCCUAAUACAUGCAAGUCGAACGAGAGCGACCGGUGCUUGCACUGGUCAAUCUAGUGGCGAACGGGUGAGUAACACGUGGGUAACCUGCCCAUCAGAGGGGGAUAACAUUCGGAAACGGAUGCUAAAACCGCAUAGGUCUUCGAACCGCAUGGUUUGAAGAGGAAAAGAGGCGCAAGCUUCUGCUGAUGGAUGGACCCGCGGUGCAUUAGCUAGUUGGUGAGGUAACGGCUCACCAAGGCCGUGAUGCAUAGCCGACCUGAGAGGGUGAUCGGCCACAUUGGGACUGAGACACGGCCCAAACUCCUACGGGAGGCAGCAGUAGGGAAUCUUCCGCAAUGGACGCAAGUCUGACGGAGCAACGCCGCGUGAGUGAAGAAGGUUUUCGGAUCGUAAAACUCUGUUGUUAGAGAAGAACAAGUGCUAGAGUAACUGUUAGCGCCU
rnacentral:rRNA from 1 species